rnacentral:lncRNA from 1 species
AUUCUUUUGACUCAGAAUCGAGUCUUUUGAUGGAGAAUGGAGAAGAGGAUUGAGAGUGAGAAUCGUGGAGAGGCGAAGAGAGGUUGAGAGCUUGUGCAGAAUGAUUCUCCCACCUAGGGAUGACAAUUUGACUUAUCCCCAAUGGACACCCGCAAAAACGGAUACGGACAUGGGCUCGGGUAAUUACCCAUAAAAAAAACGGGUAUG